GCUGUGGCUGUGGUGUAGGCCGGCAGCUGCAGCUCUGAUUGGACCCCUAGCCUGGGAAUCUCCAUGUGCCACAGGUGCAGCUCUAAAAAAAAAAAAAAGAAUCAGCAACUCUAGAAUACAUCCCAUUUAUCUAGUUCCUUUCCCCUGUCUCCAUUUUAUUAGGUAAAAUCUUAGGAAAUUACCACUUUGUUGGUGAGAAGUAGCUGCAUAUUGAGAAUUUUAUGUAGCUUUAAUCUAAUACAAAUAGGGACCCCGAGAAGUUCCUGUUGUGGUUCAGGAUCGAACCCACACCCUCAUGGAUCCUAGUUGGGUUUGUUAACCACUGAGCCAUGACAGGACCUCCAGUUUUCACUCUUGAAGAAGAUCUAGUCUGAAGAGCUCCCUGGUGGCCUAGCAGUUAAAGUCGCUGCUGUGGCUCAGGUCCCUGCUAGGGUGCAGGUUCGAUCCCUGGCCCAUGAACUCCCGCAUGCGAGGUCCCGUCUGCGAACAGGGAUUGCAUUUAGGCAUCCCGUCUCUUUAGCCCCCUUGAACCUGGAACCCUUUCUUGAUCCGUCUCUUCGGACCUUGACACUUUUGAAGAAUAGAGGCAGUUGUUUUGUAGGCUGGCCCUCGGUGUGGGUAUGUCUGCGUGUUCUUCAUGAUUCCGGUUGCACACCUUUGGCAGGAACAUCAGAGAAGUGAUGUGUCCUCAGUGCCUCGAGCUGGGAGGCACACGAUGUGGGCUCUUCCCAUUAUAGUUGGUGUUCGCUUGGCUCACUUGGUGAAGGUGGCGUUUACCGGCGUCUCCACUGUGAUGAUACCGUCAUUCCCUUUGGUAUCUUGUGAGGAUGCGUUUUGAGACCAGGUGAAUAUUCUGUGCAGCCGUUCGGGGUAGCAUCCAUCCGUGAUUCUUGUCGGAAAUGAUGAUGGCUGUGGCAGGUGACGCAGGGCGGCUCUCUAACUUCCCUGGACCCCUUACCCUGAUCAGGUACCACUCUGCUGGAGGAAGAGUUUUUCCCUUCUCCUCCAUUUAUGUGUUUGUCUGUGUAUUUAUUCAUCUAUUCAGUUAGACUCAAAAUAGAUGGACUCAUGGCUUCUUAUUUUAUUCUGGAGCUUGCAAUCGCUGCUGUCCAUCAGCGUUUAAAUAAGCCCAGGGUCUCCUGAGUUAAACAUAAAGAGCCCUGAGCCUCCCAGUUGUCCCCUGAGAGCGUCCCUGCCUCUCUCUCCCCUGCCCCUUCUCAGCCACGCCUCUACCCACACUCACUCCUUUCUCACCUCCCACUCCUUCCCUGACUCGGGGCUUGCUGCCUUCGGUCCCUGCCCCUCUCCCGAAACUACCCCACCUCAGAUCACCAGUGAUCCCUCACCCCUGAAUCUCUCCUCUGACUUGUCGUCUUGGAAGCGUUUGCCGCCCUGGCCACUUCCUUGCCGCAGCCACGCCUGCGUCCCUGGGCGUCUGAGCCACACCCUCCUGGGACCCCCCCCACCUCCGCCCCCCCCCCCCCCGCCCCCGUGUUCCCUGCUCAGCCCUCCCAGCCUCUUAAACAUGCCCGGCCGUGAGCCCUCCACCUUCAGGAAGAAGAAGCUAAUAUGUAUCAUGUUCCCACUCUGUGCCAGGUCCUGUGUGUGAAUGAAUAUUAAUGUAAUCUUUACAACAAGCCUUAUGUAGUGAGGCCUAUUUUCUCUUCCCCAUUGUACAAAAGUGGUAACUGAGGCACAGGGAGGUUAAAGUAACGUGCUUAAGGUCACACGACUAGCAACUAACACAUCUGGGGUUUGACCAGAGUGUACUGCCUCCAGAUUCGCCCAUUAAUCUAGCCUAGUAAAUAGUCAGUGAGCACUUCCUGGGUGCCAGGCCCUAUCUGGGGAGUCCCAACCCUACUCUCAAGACAAGCAUGUUACUUUCUUUUUUUUUUUUCCUUUUAGGGCCUAACUCAUGGCAUGUGGUAGUUCCCAGGCCAGGGGUUGAAUUGGAGCUAUAGCUGCUGGCCUACACUACAACCAUGCUAGAUCCAAGCCAUGUCUGCAACCUACACUGCAGCUCAAGGCCACACCAGAUCCUUAACCCACUGAGAGGGGCCAGGGAUUGAACCCGUGUCCUCAUGGAUACUAUUAUACCAACAGGUAUAAGAAAAGUGCUUAGGAGUUCCUGCUGUAGCCAGUAGGUUAAGGAUCCAGCAUUGCUGCAGCUGCGGCUAGGCUGCAGCUGUGGCUGAGAUUAAGUCCCUGGCCUGGAAACUUCCAUGUGCACAGGUGCAGCAAAAAAAAAAAAAAAAAAAA
rnacentral:lncRNA from 9 species